rnacentral:tRNA from 1 species
GCCUGGCUGGCUCAGUCGAUGAAGUAUGAGACUUUUGAUCUCGGGGUUGUGAGUUCAAGCCCCAUGUUGGGCG